rnacentral:misc_RNA from 1 species
CAGGUAGCAUCAUUAACAACAUCGGCCUCAUACAAAGCAUGAACGAGGAGACCUCGGAUGCUAGUAUGGCACGACAGUCACAAAUGCGUCAAGCGUUAUAAGCUUUUUCAAGGGGCAAAUAUCCGAUAUCCACCAAGUUACCCCCUCACUGCAUUCGAAAUCCGAGAACACGAGCCAAUACCUAACACACCAAGCCACCGAAUCAUAAGAGCCACAAGUGUGUGGUUAGAUCGCAAGGACCGCUUCAUUGUCCAUCUUCAAAGAGCCGAAAAAGUUUCAUAUGAUGGAGGGACACCAAACCGAAAUCUAAUUCCACCAAUGCUAGGUAGGAAACACAAGAACCACGUAGCCCAAUGCAUAAAUGCACUUGAAGCCAUAGUUAAAACACACGUCAAUAAUUCCCCCAACAUAGACGGGAAAC